GUAGGUGGCAAGCGUUGUCCGGAAUUAUUGGGUGUAAAGCGCGCGCAGGUGGUUCUUUAAGUCUGAUGUGAAAGCCCCCGGGCUCAACCGGGGAGGGUCAUUGGAAACUGGGGAACUUGAGUGCAGGAGAGGAAAGUGGAAUUCCACGUGUAGCGGUGAAAUGCGUAGAUAUGUGGAGGAACACCAGUGGCGAAGGCGACUUUCUGGCCUGUAACUGACACUGAGGCGCGAAAGCGUGGGGAGCAAACAGGAUUAGAUACCCUGGUAGUCCACGCCGUAAACGAUGAGUGCUAAGUGUUGGGGGGUUUCCGCCCCUCAGUGCUGCAGCUAACGCAUUAAGCACUCCGCCUGGGGAGUACGGUCGCAAAGACUG
rnacentral:rRNA from 1 species